GGGCCGGUAGCUCAGUCGGCAGAGCAACGGACUUUUAAUCCGUGUGUCGUGGGUUCGAUUCCCACCCGGCUCA
rnacentral:tRNA from 1 species